AUUGAACGCUGGCGGCAGGCCUAACACAUGCAAGUCGAGCGGCAGCGGAAAGUAGCUUGCUACUUUGCCGGCGAGCGGCGGACGGGUGAGUAAUGUCUGGGAAACUGCCUGAUGGAGGGGGAUAACUACUGGAAACGGUGGCUAAUACCGCAUAACGUCGCAAGACCAAAGUGGGGGACCUUCGGGCCUCACGCCAUCGGAUGUGCCCAGAUGGGAUUAGCUAGUAGGUGGGGUAAUGGCUCACCUAGGCGACGAUCCCUAGCUGGUCUGAGAGGAUGACCAGCCACACUGGAACUGAGACACGGUCCAGACUCCUACGGGAGGCAGCAGUGGGGAAUAUUGCACAAUGGGCGCAAGCCUGAUGCAGCCAUGCCGCGUGUGUGAAGAAGGCCUUCGGGUUGUAAAGCACUUUCAGCGAGGAGGAAGGCAUCACACUUAAUACGUGUGGUGAUUGACGUUACUCGCAGAAGAAGCACCGGCUAACUCCGUGCCAGCAGCCGCGGUAAUACGGAGGGUGCAAGCGUUAAUCGGANNUACUGGGCGUAAAGCGCACGCAGGCGGUUUGUUAANUCANAUGUGAAAUCCCCGCGCUUAACGUGGGAACUGCAUUUGAAACUGGCAAGCUAGAGUCUUGUAGAGGGGGGUAGAAUUNC
rnacentral:rRNA from 1 species